rnacentral:rRNA from 1 species
UUCCAGACUCCUACGGGAGGCAGCAGUGAGGAAUAUUGGUCAAUGGCCGUAAGGCUGAACCAGCCAAGUCGCGUGAAGGAAGAAGGAUCUAUGGUUUGUAAACUUCUUUUAUAGGGGAAUAAAGGUAUCCACGUGUGGAUAUUUGCAUGUACCCUAUGAAUAAGCAUCGGCUAACUCCGUGCCAGCAGCCGCGGUAAUACGGAGGAUGCGAGCGUUAUCCGGAUUUAUUGGGUUUAAAGGGUGCGUAGGCGGGCUUUUAAGUCAGCGGUAAAAAUUCGGGGCUCAACCCCGUCCGGCCGUUGAAACUGGGGGCCUUGAGUGGGCGAGAAGAAGGCGGAAUGCGUGGUGUAGCGGUGAAAUGCGUAGAUAUCAGGAGGAACACCGGCGGCGAAGGCGGCCUGCUGGACCGCGACUGACGUUGAGGCUCGAAAGCGUGGGGAGCGAACAGGAUUAGAUACCCGGGUA